rnacentral:rRNA from 1 species
UACGUAGGGUGCAAGCGUUGUCCGGAAUUAUUGGGCGUAAAGAGUUCGUAGGCGGUUUGUCGCGUCCGUUGUGAAAGCUUGGGGCUCAACCCCAAGUCUGCAGUUGAUACAGGCAGACUAGAGUCAGGUAGGGGAGAACGGAAUUCCUGGUGUAGCGGUGAAAUGCGCAGAUAUCAGGAGGAACACCGGUGGCGAAGGCGGUUCUCUGGGCCUGUACUGACGCUGAGGAACGAAAGCGUGGGGAGCGAACAGG